rnacentral:lncRNA from 1 species
CCCACCUUCCAAAGUGGAAUUACAGAGAGCUUUUCCUGACCACGCUGAGAGGGAGGUGUGACUACGGAAGAAUGGCUGGAGAGAGGCAACGCUGCUUGGCUUUGAAGAUGGAAGGAGAAAGCCAGGAGCUAAGGAAUGCAGUAACCUCCAGGAUCUGGAAGAGGCAAGAGGACAGGAGCUCCUCUAGAGUCUCUGGAAAGGAGCACAGCCCCAGCACCUCGAUUUUAGCCCAGUCUGACCCAUGGCUGCCUUCAGACCUCCGGAACUGUCAAUUCAUAAAUUGGUUUUGUUUUAAGCCUUAUAAGUUUGUGGUAAUUUGUUACAGCAGCAUUAGGAAACUAAUACAGUGGAAGACAGUUCCAGGCAGAGGGAACAGCAUGUGCAAAGGCCUGGAG